CCAAAAAAGUCUAUUCUAUGGUCUUUUUGCUUCUUUUAAUUAACUUUUUACCCCUUUCCUUAGGUCUUAUAUUACAACAACUUAAAGCACCAACAGGAUCAAUAUCAACACCCCUGGCAAAUAUUUCAGAAGCACCAACGGGAUCUGCAUCAAGUAAUGUAUUUUGCAUACUUAUGUAUUUUUUGGGUGUUGUAUUAUUCAAGCUGAAACAUUACAUUUUUAAUAUUUGUAUGCAG
rnacentral:lncRNA from 1 species